GGCGGCGUGCUUAACACAUGCAAGUCGAGCGGAAAGGCCCUUCGGGGUACUCGAGCGGCGAACGGGUGAGUAACACGUGAGUAACCUGCCCCUGACUCUGGGAUAAGCCCGGGAAACUGGGUCUAAUACCGGAUACGAACACGUUCCUGCAUGGGAUGCGGUGUGGAAAGUUUUUUCGGUUGGGGAUGGACUCGCGGCCUAUCAGCUUGUUGGUGGGGUAACGGCCUACCAAGGCGACGACGGGUAGCCGGCCUGAGAGGGCGACCGGCCACACUGGGACUGAGACACGGCCCAGACUCCUACGGGAGGCAGCAGUGGGGAAUAUUGCGCAAUGGGCGGAAGCCUGACGCAGCGACGCCGCGUGGGGGAUGACGGCCUUCGGGUUGUAAACCUCUUUCAGCAGGGACGAAGUUGACGUGUACCUGCAGAAGAAGCGCCGGCUAACUACGUGCCAGCAGCCGCGGUAAUACGUAGGGCGCAAGCGUUGUCCGGAAUUAUUGGGCGUAAAGAGCUCGUAGGUGGCUUGUCGCGUCGGAUGUGAAAGCUUGGGGCUUAACUCCAGGUCUGCAUUCGAUACGGGCUGGCUAGAGGUAGGUAGGGGAGAACGGAAUUCCUGGUGUAGCGGUGAAAUGCGCAGAUAUCAGGAGGAACACCGGUGGCGAAGGCGGUUCUCUGGGCCUUACCUGACGCUGAGGAGCGAAAGCGUGGGGAGCGAACAGGAUUAGAUACCCUGGUAGUCACGCUGUAAACGUUGGGCGCUAGGUGUGGGGGACCUUCCACGGUUUCCGCGCCGUAGCUAACGCAUUAAGCGCCCCGCCUGGGGAGUACGGCCGC
rnacentral:rRNA from 1 species